rfam:Triticum urartu cultivar G1812 contig1191650, whole genome shotgun sequence.
AUACCUUUUUGGCCUUUUGAUUAAGAUCAAGUGUAGUAUUUAUUUUUAUCAGUUUAAUAUCUGAUAUGUGGGUCUAUGUGCCCACAAUGAUAUUAAAUUUAUUUUUUGUGGGGUUGAGUUCAUAAUAGUAGCUUGCUACUAGGGCCCACAUGUGUUGCACUAUGAGAGAAUUCCUUAUUUAACAGUCCAAAAACU